AUGUGUCAGGCUUACGCUGCGGUUGCUCCGUGCCAUCCGCACCCACCUGGCGACUGCUUGCUACGGUUUGUUAGCC
rnacentral:sRNA from 1 species